GUUGGUUAAGUCCCGCAACGAGCGCAACCCUCGACCUUAGUUGCCAGCAUUCAGUUGGGCACUCUAAGGUGACUGCCGGCUAAAAGUCGGAGGAAGGUGGGGAUGACGUCAAAUCAUCAUGCCCCUUAUGACCUGGGCUACACACGUGCUACAAUGGGCGGUACAAAGGGUCGCGAACCCGCGAGGGGGAGCCAAUCCCAAAAAGCCGCUCUCAGUUCGGAUUGCAGGCUGCAACUCGCCUGCAUGAAGCCGGAAUCGCUAGUAAUCGCGGAUCAGCACGCCGCGGUGAAUACGUUCCCGGGCCUU
rnacentral:rRNA from 1 species